UUGCUUCAGCAGCACAUAUACUAAAAUUGGAACAAUACAGGGUAGAUUAGUGUGCCUUGUGCACAAGGAUGACAUACAAAUUUGUGAAGCAUUCCAUAUUUUC